rnacentral:rRNA from 1 species
AAUUCAGUCUCAGUUAGGUAGGAGUACCCGCUGAACUUAAGCAUAUCAGUAAGCGGAGGAAAAGAAACCAACAGGGAUUCCCCUAGUAACGGCGAGUGAAGCGGGAAGAGCUCAAAUUUGAAAUCGCGUCCGGGUAACCGGGUCGCGAGUUGUAAUUUGAUGAGGCAAGCUUGGUGGGCGCCUGGGUCAAAAUCCUUUGGAAAAGGGUAUCAUAGAGGGUGACAAUCCCGUCUGUGGCUCAGUCAGCGGUCUAUCGUGUAAGCUGCCUUCAAAGAGUCGGGUUGUUUGGGAAUGCAGCCCUAAGCUGGUGGUAAAUUCCAUCUAAAGCUAAAUAUUCGUGAGAGACCGAUAGCGAACAAGUACCGUGAGGGAAAGUUGAAAAGCACUCUGGAGAGAGAGUCAAACAGCACGUGAAAUUGUUAACAGGGAAACGUUGGGCCCCAGUACGCGCCUCGCGUAAAAUCAACCAUCUUUUCCCCGAGGGUAUCCGUGCCGGGUGGAUGAGUCCUUAAGAAGGGCCAUUGCCCGGUCGGUGCCCGAGGGGGGUGGUGCACUUUUGCGUGGGCGGGUCAACGUCAGUUAGAGCCACCGGAAAAUCCUGGGAGGAAUGUUGGCGAAGGCAACGGACCCACUUAUAGCCUCCCUUGAAAGCGGUGACCCUGACUGAGGAGUCGCAGCCUCAUCAUAUGGCGCGCGCGUCUCCCUUCCCCCUGUGGGUAAGGCAGCUUGCUGACUUAUCUCGGUAAGGGAGGGGACUGCGUGUGUGCCUGG